rnacentral:piRNA from 1 species
AAAUCNCUUAAAGAAAUGCAGGAGAACAC